UUGGAACCUUAAAUUGGAGAGAGAAACCCUAAGUUUCUAACCUUUGAUUUGCUUUUCCCUUAAAAAGGAAAAGAAUUCUAUUACGUCAGGUUUUAUUCCUAGCUUAUUUUGUUUAUUUAAAAUUAAAAUGAGGAAAUGGUUUUAACAAAUAGCCUUAUGUAAAGAAAUGAUCUAUCUUAAUUUAUUCAAAAUCCUAGUUGUACAUAACCUUCAUCCAGCUUGGCUUUUUAAUUUUUUUUUGUAAAAUCUUUCUCCCAACCUUCAGUUUCCUUUCUCGCAUGCAGUAGGUAUUUUUCCCCAAUUUGUUUUCUUCUUUCUUCAUCAUGCGAAACCCCGAAGCCUGAAGUUUCUGUUCCUUUUCUUCAUUGUGAUUGACUCAACGUUGGCGGCGAGCGCGGCGGGGAAUGAUGAGGUCGCAAGAGGGGCGUUUUUAAAGGGGUUAAAACUCUAGUUUCUUUCUUCUCUCUUUCUCGCUCGGACACUCAAGCUGGAGGGAUCAUCGUUGGUGCGGCUAUGUCGGCGAGAGCGCGACGACUGCACGGUAGAGGCACGUUGAGGGCACGGCGUUUCCUUCGUGGCAGUGUGUGUUGGUGGCGACCUUCACGGUCCAAGAACAGAGGCUUUAUUCUUCUUAUCCCCUCUUUCGAUUUUUACGAGUUAGGGAUUUGGAUAUUCACCAAAAUUUUGGAUUGCUAUUUCGCGUUUGGGUUGGUUUUGUUCUUCUGCAGGGUAAUCGUUGUUCGUGUUCUCCUUCUUCGUUCUCCGGUGUAUCUGAUACCUGCGGUGAAGAGGAAUUGAGGCUGAGCGAGAACGAGCAAGAACUGUUGGGCUGUGGCCAAGUUGCUCUCGGUUUGGGCCUAAGUGAGUUUGUAGACUCAAAGUUAAACCUGGGAUUAGUCCUUUUGAUUUCGUAAUUGAGCCUGUAGACUCCCAGAAUUCACUCUGUUUAGUUUUGAAUUUUUAAUGGUAGAAAAGAAAAAUUAAAAAUUCAAUAAUAUUAAUAAUGAUCAGAAUUUUAACUGGACUGUUUAUA